UACAGAGGGUGCGAGCGUUAAUCGGAAUUACUGGGCGUAAAGCGUGCGUAGACGGUUAUUUAAGUCGGGUGUGAAAGCCCCGGGCUCAACCUGGGAAUUGCAUUCGAGACUGAAUAGCUAGGGUACGGUAGAGGGAAGCGGAAUUUCCGGUGUAGCGGUGAAAUGCGUAGAUAUCUGAAGGAACAUCAGUGGCGAAAGCGACUUCCUGGACCAAUACUGACGCUCAUGUGCGAAAGCGUGGGGAGCAAACAGG
rnacentral:rRNA from 1 species